ACGCUGGCGGCAGGCUUAACACAUGCAAGUCGAACGGUAGCAGGAGGAAGCUUGCUUUCUUGCUGACGAGUGGCGGACGGGUGAGUAAUGCUUGGGAAUCUGGCUUAUGGAGGGGGAUAACUACGGGAAACUGUAGCUAAUACCGCGUAGUGUCGAGAGACGAAAGUGCGGGACCGCAAGGCCGCAUGCCAUGAGAUGAGCCCAAGUGGGAUUAGGUAGUUGGUGGGGUAAAGGCCUACCAAGCCUGCGAUCUCUAGCUGGUCUGAGAGGAUGGCCAGCCACACUGGAACUGAGACACGGUCCAGACUCCUACGGGAGGCAGCAGUGGGGAAUAUUGCGCAAUGGGGGGAACCCUGACGCAGCCAUGCCGCGUGAAUGAAGAAGGCCUUCGGGUUGUAAAGUUCUUUCGGUAUUGAGGAAGGAGUGUAUGUUAAUAGCAUACAUUAUUGACGUUAAAUACAGAAGAAGCACCGGCUAACUCCGUGCCAGCAGCCGCGGUAAUACGGAGGGUGCGAGCGUUAAUCGGAAUAACUGGGCGUAAAGGGCACGCAGGCGGUUAUUUAAGUGAGGUGUGAAAGCCCCGGGCUUAACCUGGGAAUUGCAUUUCAGACUGGGUAACUAGAGUACUUUAGGGAGGGGUAGAAUUCCACGUGUAGCGGUGAAAUGCGUAGAGAUGUGGAGGAAUACCGAAGGCGAAGGCAGCCCCUUGGGAAUGUACUGACGCUCAUGUGCGAAAGCGUGGGGAGCAAACAGGAUUAGAUACCCUGGUAGUCCACGCUGUAAACGCUGUCGAUUUGGGGAUUGGGCUUAAAGCUUGGCGCCCGUAGCUAACGUGAUAAAUCGACCGCCUGGGGAGUACGGCCGCAAGGUUAAAACUCAAAUGAAUUGACGGGGGCCCGCACAAGCGGUGGAGCAUGUGGUUUAAUUCGAUGCA
rnacentral:rRNA from 1 species